rnacentral:rRNA from 1 species
AGUGAACGCUGGCGGUAGGCCUAACACAUGCAAGUCGAACGGCAGCACAGUAAGAGCUUGCUCUUACGGGUGGCGAGUGGCGGACGGGUGAGGAAUACAUCGGAAUCUACUUUUUCGUGGGGGAUCACGUAGGGAAACUUACGCUAAUACCGCAUACGACCUACGGGUGAAAGCAGGGGAUCUUCGGACCUUGCGCGAUUGAAUGAGCCGAUGUCGGAUUAGCUAGUUGGCGGGGUAAAGGCCCACCAAGGCGACGAUCCGUAGCUGGUCUGAGAGGAUGAUCAGCCACACUGGAAGUGAGACACGGUCCAGACUCCUACGGGAGGCAGCAGUGGGGAAUAUUGGACAAUGGGCGCAAGCCUGAUCCAGCCAUACCGCGUGGGUGAAGAAGGCCUUCGGGUUGUAAAGCCCUUUUGUUGGGAAAGAAAAGCAGCAGGUUAAUACCCCGCUGUUCUGACGGUACCCAAAGAAUAAGCACCGGCUAACUUCGUG